rnacentral:lncRNA from 1 species
GCAGUUUCCGAAGAACCGAUAAGCUGCGGAAGCCGCGAAAGCUGCGGGCCGCCGAUCGCCCGCCUCGGCUCCGUGCCUGCGCGCGCCCCAGAGCGGGCCGGGCCCACCAUGGCCCACCGCUGCCUGCUGCUGUGGAGCCGGGGCGGCUGCCGUCGCGGCCUUCCUCCCCUGCUCGUGCCCAGAGGUUGCCUGGGUCCGGACCGGCGGCCCUGCCUCCGUACGGUGAGUCCCCGCGUCGCUGCUGCUCCCUCCGUCCGGGCUUCCGGCUCCGGCGCAGGUGUCAAGGUCACCGGCCCGGGACGCGUGACGGCCUGUGUCUCCUGGUCCCCGUGGGCGGUGUUUCUCUUGACCCCGGGGCCCUCAGGGCCUCGCUGCGGACAGUGGCUCCCGGAGCCCGGGAAGGUCACGCCUCGGCUUUUCUCCUCGCUGCCGUGGUCUCGUUGGCUUUCGUGGCACUGGAAAAGGAUAGACUAGUGGACUGCACCGGCGAGCUGGAGGGGAGAGAGAGGGCUGUGGCACCUCCCUUUCCCAUGUGUUGAACAAGGGGGCCGUGGCUGGCAUCCUGAAUACAAAUCGGCAAAUAUCACUGGUGUCAAAAUAUAUAUUGUUCAGGGUAGGACCUAUGUAGUUAGUUGCGUAACAGCGCCCAUCCGGAGGCUUUGGCUGCUGGUGUAGGGCCUCACACUACCUAUCUGGUACAUUUUAUUGAAGUGAUGCUGUUAGCAGGACCAUGACACAGCUUCUUGCUGUCUGCCAGCCCAGCACAGGUUUUACCCAAAGGUACAUAUAGCAUGGCGGUUGAGGAAUGUGAUUGGUCCCUUGGUCACUGACUUGACCACUUACUGUCCAGCGGCCUUGAGGUGGUUAGUCCAGCCCCUUCACUUAGAAACUAAUAAAUAGUACAUAGUACAGCAGCCUUUCAGUUUCCGGAGGGGAUGGAUGCAUGGACCCUUACCAAACUUAAAGGAUGCACACCCUCCUCUGUGCUUUGGUUUGUUUAUGUUUUGUUUGGGGAUUUCUGAGGUCUUACUGUGUAGCCCAUGCUAGCCUCCCGUAUCUCCCACCUGGUCCUUCUAAUCAUGCUGGCUCUUCGAUUAUACGCCCAUCUCUACAUCAGUACCUAAUGUGUUGUAAACGGUCAGUAAAUAGGCUUUAUAUCCUACCUACUAUUCAAUGAAUAAUGACCAAAACCCAACCCAACCCAGCCAACUUCUCCCCACACAGGAAACAACAACAAAAAACCCUAAAUUGACCUCAAACAUUCCUCAUUGCUGAGCCUGGCCUUGAACUACUGAUCCUAUCUCCCGUCUCUCAAGUGUAGGGGUUACAAUUAUCCACCACAACACCAACUCAUGUAAAUUUUUGUUUGGUUUUGUUGUUGUUUUGUUGUUACUGUUUUCUGAGUGUUUCUCACCAGUGGUUGGCGGAUAUGAGCGUUGAAGCCAUGUGUAAGGAUGGCUGAGGGUACCCGUGUGUGACACUUACUUUGAAGCUUAUUUGUCAUCCCUGCAUCGGAGUCCUCAUCGUUUGUACCCGUACAGGUACUGCCCUGCUGUAGACCAUCUGUUCAAUGUUUGACCAUUUUCCCAUCUUACCUUACUCAUCUGAUCUCUUCCCUUUUAUAAUCAGUGGACAUUGGACUCAGGGAUCUAGUUUGUGAGACUGAAUCUCAUAAAAGGCCUUUGUGGGACUGUUGUCCCUGUGCGUCACCAGUGAACGCUGAGACACAAGUCCUCAUUUGGACAGCUACAGCUAGUUGGUAUGCCUGUGCGUGAUGUAUACCCUUGCGGAGGGACACCUGAACAUUUCUUUGCUGUACAGAAUGUAUAUAGCCCAGGAUAGCCUUGAACAUGUUAUCCUCCUGCCUCUGUUUCCUGAGUGUUGGCCCAUGCCUGGUUUAUUCGUGGUAUUGGGGCAUCAAACCUAGGGCUUAUACAUUCUAGACAACCACUCCAACUGCUACAUCCUCAGUCUCCAGAGGGCAUUAAACACUCCAGCCCCCAAUAGGGCAUUUGGAGGUAACAGUAUUUGUGUAGUGUAACUUAUGUGUCUGGUUCCAUACCAAGCUGAAGAGACUUUUCAUGUGUUGUGACAUGAAGAAGUGUCCCUUCUCUUCUGUGCUGUCUACAUUUCUCUACAGCUAACCCUCCACAUCAGUACUUUGAAUUGAGAGCAUUGAACAUGGAGAAACUUUCCUCCUGGAAAAUACUAGAAGAUACAGUCCAACAACAACUUAGAGAACAGUUCCCUUGUAUCAUGCAUUAUAGGUAAUAUAAAGGUGGUGUCUUAGUUAGGGUUUUACUGCUGUGAAUAGACACCAUGACCAAGGUAACUCUUAUAAGAACAACAUUUAAUUGGGGUUGGCUUACAGGUUCAGAGGUUUAGUUCAUUAUCAAGGCAGGAGCAUGACAGUGUCCAGGCAGGCAUGGUGCAGGCAGAGCUGAGAGUUCUAUAUCUUCAUCUGAAGGCUGCUAGCAGAAUACUGACUUCCAGCAGCAACUAGGACUAGGGUAUUAAAGCCCAUACCCACAGUGACACACCUACUCCAACAAGGCCACACCUCCAAAUAGUGCCACUCCCUUGGCCAAGCAUACUCAAACCAUCACAUUUCCACUCCCUGGUCCCCAUAGGCUUGUUCAAACACAUGAAUCUAAGGGGGUCAUGCCUAGUCAUAGCAUAAUAAAAAAGUAAAUUUUGUCCAACUUCCAAAGUCCCUGUAGUCUAUAGCAGUCUCAACAAUGUUUAGUCCAAAGUUCAAAGUCGCUUCUGAGAUUCAUCCAAUCACUUAACUGAAAUCCCCAAUGCAAGACAGGAAACCAGUUGGACAAACUACAGACAUCUCCACGAUUGAUGUCAAAGUGGUUCUCAGAUCUCUACUCCUUUUUCAUCUUUGUUGACUGCAACAAACUUUCUCCUGAGCUGGUUCCACUCUCUGUUAGCAGCUUUCCUCAGCAGGUAUCCCAGAGCUGUGGUAUCUUUAACAUCUUUGGGUCACCAAGACAACUUCAACAUUACAGCUUCUUGUUUCAGUGUCGGGGUAUCCUCCAAAGGGCUGGCAUCACAUCUCCAGCUCUGCCCUCUGUAGCACUCUAAGCUCAGAUUGAUCCACUCCACUGCCACUGUUCUUGGUGAUUAUCACAUGGUACUGUCAUCUCCAGUACACUAGGGCGUUCUGCUACAACUAGGCUUCACCAAUAGUCUCUCAGAGGCUCUCUUCAUGGUGCCAAGCCUCAACUCCUUUACAUGACCCUUUCAGUUCUGGGCAUCAACUACAACUAAGGCUGCAUGCACCUUUACCUGUGGCCUUCCAUGGCCUCUCACAGUGCUGAGCCUCAGCUGCUCUUCAUGACCCCUUCAUGCCUUCAAAACCAGUACCACCUGGGUGACUCUUAACACAUUACCAAGUCCAGCUGCAGCAUGAGGUACAGCAUUGGCUGUAUCUGGAACACAGCUUCUUUGUGCUCUCAGAAAACACUUCCCAGAAGAUUUCACCUCAGUGAUGCUGGUCUCUUCUUAAGCACCGCUAAUUUCUUAGCUUCAGCAUCAAUUGUCCCAGUAGUCCCUUCUGUUCUGAACUUUUAGAGUCCAGAGCUACGUGGCCAAAGCUGUCAAGUUCUGCUGCUUGCUAGAGCUGGAACAUGGCCCCCUUGUUCUAUUACAUUAUCACUAGCUUUCUAUUUUCCAAUUCCUUCACAACCUGAGCUUGGCUGGCCUGGAACUUGCUCCAUAAACUGACUUUGAACUCAGAGCUCUGCAUACCUGUCUCCUAAGCACUGGGAUUAAAAGUGCUGCCUACCAAGCCUGGACUUAAGCUUUUCUCCACCUAGAACUUGCUAUGUUCUAGGCUGGCCGUGAACUUAGAGAACUGCUUGGCUUUAUCUCCUGGAAUUAAAUAUGUUUACCACCAUGCCUGGAUCUAAAUGUAGCUGGGUAGGAUCUGUCCCCAAAGUCAUUACUCCCUUAAUUCAAUUUAAUAUCCGGAACACAGGAUUCAGCUCCAUUUCACUUCCUGAUGCCACUUUAAUACUCCAACCAUAUAGUUUAUAUUUUCGUUUUCUUUUAUUUAUUUAUUUAAUCUAUAUGAGUAUACUGUCGUUAUCUUUGAUAAGAGGGGAUCAGAUCCCAUUACAGAUAGUUGUGAGUCACCAAGUGGUUGCUGGGAAUUGAACUCAGGACUUCUGGAAGAGUAGUCAGUGCUCCUAACCUCUGAGCCAUCUCUCCAGCCCUGUUGUUGUUGUUGUUGUUGUUUCUUCUUCUUCUUCUUUUUUAAAGAUUUAUUUAUUUAUUAUAUGUAAGUACACUGUAGCUGUCCUUAGAUACUCCAGAAGAGGGCAUCAGAUCUCAUUACAGAUGGUUGUGAGCCACCAUGUGGUUGCUGGGAUUUGAACUCAGAACCUUCCGAAGAGCAGUUGGCACUCUUAACCACUGAGCCAUCUCACCAGCCCCAUAUUUUCGUUUUCUAAGCUUGCUAUGCUUGUUCAAAAUGCUCUUCAUGAGACUUAACCAGAGCACAAAGUCUGCUGGACUUUUUCCAGUCUUCUUUUGUCAAUGAAAUUAAUAUAAAUCUCUUUACCUUAGACUCAGGUAGACUCUUCAGACAAGGACAAAAAGCAGCCACAUUCUUCAUCAAAAUACCACAAAAACAAUCUCUAGGCCACCUAUCG